GUGAACGCUGGCGGUAGGCCUAACACAUGCAAGUCGAACGGCAGCACAGUAAGAGCUUGCUCUUACGGGUGGCGAGUGGCGGACGGGUGAGGAAUACAUCGGAAUCUACUUUUUCGUGGGGGAUAACGUAGGGAAACUUACGCUAAUACCGCAUACGACCUACGGGUGAAAGCAGGGGAUCUUCGGACCUUGCGCGAUUGAAUGAGCCGAUGUCGGAUUAGCUAGUUGGCGGGGUAAAGGCCCACCAAGGCGACGAUCCGUAGCUGGUCUGAGAGGAUGAUCAGCCACACUGGAACUGAGACACGGUCCAGACUCCUACGGGAGGCAGCAGUGGGGAAUAUUGGACAAUGGGCGCAAGCCUGAUCCAGCCAUACCGCGUGGGUGAAGAAGGCCUUCGGGUUGUAAAGCCCUUUUGUUGGGAAAGAAAAGCAGCAGGUUAAUACCCCGCUGUUCUGACGGUACCCAAAGAAUGAGCACCGGCUAACUUCGUG
rnacentral:rRNA from 1 species